AUUGAACGCUGGCGGCAGGCUUAACACAUGCAAGUCGAACGAUGAUUUCCCAGCUUGCUGGGAAUGAUUAGUGGCGGACGGGUGAGUAACAUUUAGGAAUCUGCCUAGUAGUGGGGGAUAGCUCGGGGAAACUCGAAUUAAUACCGCAUACGACCUACGGGUGAAAGGGGGCGCAAGCUCUUGCUAUUAGAUGAGCCUAAAUCAGAUUAGCUAGUUGGUGGGGUAAAGGCCCACCAAGGCGACGAUCUGUAACUGGUCUGAGAGGAUGAUCAGUCACACCGGAACUGAGACACGGUCCGGACUCCUACGGGAGGCAGCAGUGGGGAAUAUUGGACAAUGGGGGCAACCCUGAUCCAGCCAUGCCGCGUGUGUGAAGAAGGCCUUUUGGUUGUAAAGCACUUUAAGCAGGGAGGAGAGGCUAAUGGUUAAUACCCAUUAGAUUAGACGUUACCUGCAGAAUAAGCACCGGCUAACUCUGUGCCAGCAGCCGCGGUAAUACAGAGGGUGCGAGCGUUAAUCGGAAAUACUGGGCGUAAACCGAGUGUAGGUGGCUCAUUAAGUCACAUGUGAAAUCCCCGGGCUUAACCUGGGAACUGCAUGUGAUACUGGUGGUGCUAGAAUAUGUGAGAGGGAAGUAGAAUUCCAGGUGUAGCGGUGAAAUGCGUAGAGAUCUGGAGGAAUACCGAUGGCGAAGGCAGCUUCCUGGCAUAAUAUUGACACUGAGAUUCGAAAGCGUGGGUAGCAAACAGGAUUAGAUACCCUGGUAGUCCACGCCGUAAACGAUGUCUACUAGCCGUUGGGGUCCUUGAGACUUUAGUGGCGCAGUUAACGCGAUAAGUAGACCGCCUGGGGAGUACGGCCGCAAGGUUAAAACUCAAAUGAAUUGACGGGGGCCCGCACAAGCGGUGGAGCAUGUGGUUUAAUUCGAUGCAACGCGAAGAACCUUACCUGGUCUUGACAUAGUGAGAAUCCUGCAGAGAUGCGGGAGUGCCUUCGGGAAUUCACAUACAGGUGCUGCAUGGCUGUCGUCAGCUCGUGUCGUGAGAUGUUGGGUUAAGUCCCGCAACGAGCGCAACCCUUUUCCUUAUUUGCCAGCGGGUUAAGCCGGGAACUUUAAGGAUACUGCCAGUGACAAACUGGAGGAAGGCGGGGACGACGUCAAGUCAUCAUGGCCCUUACGACCAGGGCUACACACGUGCUACAAUGGUAGGUACAGAGGGUUGCUACACAGCGAUGUGAUGCUAAUCUCAAAAAGCCUAUCGUAGUCCGGAUUGGAGUCUGCAACUCGACUCCAUGAAGUCGGAAUCGCUAGUAAUCGCAGAUCAGAAUGCUGCGGUGAAUACGUUCCCGGGCCU
rnacentral:rRNA from 1 species